rnacentral:rRNA from 1 species
GAUGAACGCUGACAGAAUGCUUAACACAUGCAAGUCGAUUCGAAGUUUCUUUCGGGAAACGGAGGAUGGCGGACGGGUGAGUAACGCGUAAGAAACUUGCCUUUUGGACUGGGACAACUGUUGGAAACGACAGCUAAUACCGGAUAUUAUGGAGAACUCGCAUGGGUUCUUCAUGAAAGCUAUAUGCGCCAAAAGAGAGUCUUGCGUUCCAUUAGCUAGUUGGUGGGGUAAUGGCCCACCAAGGCGACGAUGGAUAGCCGGCCUGAGAGGGUGAACGGCCACAAGGGGACUGAGACACGGCCCUUACUCCUACGGGAGGCAGCAGUGGGGAAUAUUGGACAAUGGACCAAAAGUCUGAUCCAGCAAUUCUGUGUGCACGAUGAAGGUUUUCGGAUCGUAAAGUGCUUUCAGUUGGGAAGAAGAAAGUGACGGUACCAACAGAAGAAGCGACGGCUAAAUACG